rnacentral:lncRNA from 1 species
UUUUUUUUUUUUUUUUUUGUAGAAUCUAAGUACUAGUGAAGUAGUUUGCAUUGAAUAAGCGUGCAGAUUUUGUUUCACUUAAAAUUUUGGAUAUUUGUUCGUGCUAGUCCAAAGUGAGUGUUUUCUUUAUUCAUUUUUUAUUUACAUUUUUGCAGAUUUUGUUCUGUUACCGGUACUCUAUCACCCAGUUAACAACUUGUACUUUUUCAGUUGUUGGAUUUAUCUAUAUAUGCAGAAGUCUCAUUUUUUUUUUUUCUACCAUUAAUUGUUAUCUUCCUUGCAGAUCAAUUCAUACUGCAACAGAUUGAGACCAUCAGUAAGAAUUUGUUUUUAAAUUGUGUAUUCUCACAAUACCAAACUAAGCCUAAGUUCGCUUGAUGAAUAGCUGGGGAUAGAAAACCUGAUUUAAAUGAUUCUUAUGAUUUUUUUGCUCUUAUGCAGUACUUACGAGUCACGACAUCUACGGUAAAGUUUAUUCUCGGAGCUCCAUUUGUGAUUGCACUUCUAAUCUACAAGUGGUGGAGAAGGCAUUUAUCGUCCAACAACAAUUUAGAACAAUUUCUACAUAGUGACAAUUUCAUGCCUAUAAGGUACACUUAUUCCAACCUUAAGAAAAUGUCUAAUGGUUUCAAGGAUAAGUUGGGGAACGGGGGUUAUGGGUCUGUAUUUAAAGGGAGAUUACGCAGUGGCCACUUGGGAGCCAUUAAGAUGCUAGACAAGUCUAAUGCUAAUGGGGAAGAUUUCAUGAGUGAAAUAGCUACUAUUGGAAGGAUUCACCAUGUUAAUGUGGUGCAGCUUGUUGGUUACUGUGUUGAGGGGUUCAAAGCGCGCUUUAGUAUACGAUUUCAUGCCUAAUGGGUCUCUUGAUAAAUACAUUUACUCGAAAGAAGGAUCAAUCACUUUGAAUUGCAAGCAAAUGUAUGAGAUUGCAGUCGGAGUCGCUCGUGGUAUUGAAUAUUUGCAUCGAGGUUGUGAAAUGCAAAUACUACAUUUUGAUAUCAAGCCUCAUAAUAUUCUUCUUGAUGAGAAUUUUAUCCCGAAGAUUUCUGACUUUGGGUUAGCGAAACUAUAUUCAGCGGAUAAUAGCAUAGUCUCUUCAAUGGCAGCAAGAGGCACAAUGGGAUAUAUUGCUCCUGAGUUGUUUUAUAAAAACAUUGGUGGUAUUUCAAAUAAAGCUGAUGUCUACAGUUUUGGAAUGCUGUUGAUGGAAAUGGCAAGUAGAAGAAAAAAUGUAAAUGCAUUGGCAGAGCAUUCAAGCCAAAUUUACUUCCCCUCAUGGGUGCAUGAUCAAUAUAAGGAAGAGAAGGACUUGGAGAUUGGCGAUGCCACAACAGAGGAUAAGAAAAUAAUGAAAAAGAUGAUUAUAACCGCAUUAUGGUGUAUUCAAAUGAAACCAAGUCAACGACCUUCGAUGAAGGAAGCCAUAGCGAUGCUUGAAGGAGAUGUUGAAUGCCUAACAUUGCCUAUGAAGCCAUCUCUAUGCCCUGAACCGGUGACUGUAGGCAAAUUGAUAAUUCCAACAAGUUCAGAUGUGGGGUUAACAUGUAGUCUAUCAGCUAGGUGAUGAUCAUCAGCUACAAUUAUUUUUCUCUUCCUAUUUUUAACAUUUUCAUUAAAUCAAGUUGGCUACCUACCGCCCGGUGUUAUUUGGUUUAGUGGCAUAGUCUUUCUUUAGUAAGUGAAAUGUUGUAAGUUCGACUCACAAAGUUGUAAUAACUGAUAAAAAAAAAGUGGCAACAUACCAUUAUGAUAUUUCCUAGAAAUAAUGCAGAUUUUGGAGCUAAAAAAUUAAGAAAAUGAAAUGCUAAUAAUAAUGUUGUUCGGCUUAACUAUUAUGCGGCAGCAAUGGUGGAAUGAAGAUAGCGGCGGUUUUAUUUUUGUUUUUGUUUUUCCCUGGCGUUCUUCUUUAGUACAAAAGACAAAGACAACAAUAUGAGAUUUUUGUUUUUGGUCAAGAUCAAUUUACCCUUCUUUUGCCUUUUGUGUUACCACCUACUUGUAAGAUGAAGUUCAUGCAACUCGAAUAGUACUAGUAGUGGCCUGGGGCUUAAUCUGACUAGGGACGUGACUGUCCUAGCUCCUUGCAUGUAAUUCAACUUUUAAGAGUUAUUGCGAGAUGAUAAAAAUGAACAUCCACCGGCCGGCCCCGGAGAGUUUAUGUUCAAGUCUAAUUACGUAGAAUAAUACACUAAUACAGUAGCAUCGAUCAAUCAAUUAGUGAGUGGCAUCUUAAAUUGGUCUAGUUUCUUUCACACAUAUUUAUCGAGAAACUAAUUUUGUGGCAGAUGUUAUGGCAAAGUUGGGUCAUCAACUUGAAACGUAAGCCCGAAACAUAUUCUUUCCUUUUACAGCUAAUCAGGUUUUCUAUUUUGACUCUCUAAAUUUUGGUUGUCGUAAGAUUUUGUAAUUUGAAAUUAUCUUUAUUUUGUAUCUUGUCAAGAAAAAUCAAUUAGUGAGUGACAUGCAUCCCCACUUUUAAUACUUUCGAUCAAGACUUGGAAAACCAAGUCUCUAGCAAACUUCCAACUAGUCUCUAGCUUAACUUCCCACUAGCUUCCAUGUGAAGACUUGGACAUGUACAGAGAAAUAAUAUCUUAGAUUUUCGCGUCAAUCAUAUUCAACUAUCGACGUACUCUCACUAAUUUGACGUCAAGAAAUGACAAAAUAAACUUCAAAGAAUGUAGAUAUACAAAAAUGAAAAAUAUAUGUAUUCUGUGUUUCAUGAAUCAUCCCUAACCAUACAUUCAGAAUCCAGACACUUGACUUGAGAUGGAGAGAUCGAUGUCAAUUAAGUCUUCAAUUACAGGGACCUGAUCGAGUUAGGUUGUAGAAAUGGACUUAGAACUCUUGGCAUGAAAUUAAAGACUUGCAUGGAGUUUUCAAUACGAUGGAGUAAUCUGCAAUGAUAAAUGAGACUCGUGGCAAGGGCCAAGGUCUGACCCAUCAAUAAGAAGUAGCUCGAAAAUGUUCCACAAUUUAAUUCCAAGGCCAAGGAUGUGGGUGGGAGGUUUAGACUUUGUGACAUUUUCUGAGUGGUGAUGAUAUACUUUCAGGAAUAUAUAAUGGAUAAAUUCCACAAAGCACUGCAAGUUUCCAUCAGGUCAUCGAUUGCGUAAAACCAUGUCCCUCUCAUCCCACAUUCCUUUAAGACUGGGAUACAAAUUUCCAUGUAUUUUCUAGACCCUCAAGAAACUUCAAAGAAUGUAACCAAUAAAAAAACCAUAGAAUAAGAAGUGGAAAAUUUUACAAAGUUGAUGCAUGAACAUUGUAAAAUUUUCUUAUUCUAUGUUUUAAAAAUGUUGAUGCAUCACCUGGCCUUUCCACUUCUUAUUUUAUGUCCUCAAAAAUUUUACAAUGUUCAUGCAUCAACUUUGUCCUAAAGUUGUAAAACGACUUAUCAAAGUGGUAAUAUUAAUCCUCAAAGUUAUAAUAUGAGUUCUUAAAGUUGUAAAGUUUUCUAGUUACAACAUUAGUCCUCAUGUGUGGUAAAAUACGUGUUUAAAGUGGUAUUUAAAUCCUAAAAGUGAUGAGUGAAAAAAACCACAAAAGAUGAUUUUCACAAGCUGAGGUUUGAAGAAAUAGGAUCUCCUAUUAGGUAUGACAUCUCCACAAUGGAUGUUUUUCGUAAGCUAGGGUUCGAAGCAAGGAUCUCCUUACCGCCCCAUUUGUAGUCUAGCAUAUGCUUCCACUAGACCAAUCCUAUAGGUGUUGAUUCACUUGAUUGUUUCUUAUUUGUUCAAUAAGAGUUGUCGUUCACCCUAAAAAAAUUUCUUUAUAUUUUUAAAAUCUCGAGAAGCAAAAGGAAAUUAUUUGCCAUGUUGAUUGAUUGUAACACUAAAUUUUUUUCGUAAGUGUAUAUCUAUGGAACAUGUAAUACUGUGGAAUCAUCAAUUUGAAUAGAGAAAAAUUCAGCAACAAUCCAAAAACCUUGUGUCAAGGCCAAUUUGAUACCUAGACUCUAAAAGUAUCAAUAUGAUACUCAAACACUAAUUUUGACGUCACAUAGAUAUAAUGAUAUAUACCUUCGUCCAAUUUCAGUGACAAUUUAUCAAUUUGCUAAUGUAAGAAGUACAUCGGUCUUAGAAGAAACAGGAUGCACCAUAUAUACGACCUUAGUCGUUCUUAUAAUUAAAACUCUUUUAUUUCAAAAAAAAAGAAAUUGAUUUUCGACCUCAAUAGUUGAAUAAUACCAUUUAAUGGAUUUAAAAACUCAAGUACACCCUUGAUUCAGAACUAUCCUCCCCGGAGUUAUAUCAAGAAAGAACAAGCCUACAGGAGUAGUCCAUGAGAAGAACAACUAGGGGCAAAACCGGGAACUGUGGUGAAACUGGAAGACUAGAUACUAAAAAGGAUGAAGGAGCGAGUCACCUACGCCCAAGGAAACAGACUUUGAAUUUCCUAGACUUGUGACUUGUGAGGAUCCACAAGUUAAUUAUGUCUUUAAUUGCAGGGACCUGAGUUAGGUUGGGGUUGAGGAAUUGGGCCUGCCCCUCAGUCCAUCACACAACUUUGGAUCGAAUGAAACCGAUUGAUCUUUAGUUUAAAUUAUAGAAGUUGCAUUGCUUUGUUGACAGGAAAUUCUUGCAUGAAGCAGUCAACUUAUAUUAAGAUUCCAUUUUGAUGAGUAUUUCGUGACCAAUGGAAAUAUAACACUGCCGUUGGUUUCUGGUUUUUGUUUCUUCACACAGUCCCACUCAGCUUUCCGAAGAAGAAGAAGAAGAAAAUAUUCUAAUUGAUAUGUUAUUAGAAGCUUGUAGAAUAGAUAUUGUAGGAGCUUAAGUACGUAUCUGGUCGAUCUGAAACAAUGUCAGUAAGAUAGUGUUUCAGUAUAGCUAAUUAAUCCAUACAUUUUCAAACUUCAGAUGCAUACAAACAAUAAUUAAUAAUGAUAUACAUGUGUACGUCCAGCUACUCUAAUUCAACAAUUGCUUCUAGCUCAAGGUUCAACCGUCUUGCAGCCGGGCGGGUGUUUGCAUUUGUUCUGGUAGUAACCGUAGCGGCAAAAGGAUUCGGCGGCAUGGUUAAGUUUUCUCUUCCUCCCAACAUCUGAACCACUGUUUUCAUGGAUGGACGAUCCAUCGGGUGCCAUUGGAUGCACCAAAGGCCUACAAUGGCUAGUUCUUUUGGAAUUCGACACUCUAAUCCUUCUUCUCCGAUAUGGACUCGAAGGUCCUCCCCUUCUUCUAAAAGAUUAUAUAUCCAUUCUGGGUAGUAAACUUCACUAGCCUGGUCCAUGGUUUCAUCACCAAUAUUCUUUCUCCCUCCUACAAUCUCGAGCAACACCAUUCCAAAACUAUACACGUCUGACUUAUAUGACACAUUUCCAAAAUUCCGGGAGAACACUUCUGGUGCAAUAUAACCCAGAGUCCCCCUGGCUGCAGUCAUUGAAACUAUACUUUGAUCCUUGGCACACAGCUUGGACAUCCCAAAAUCAGAAACUUUUGGGGUGAAGUUUUGAUCUAGCAAGACAUUAUGAGGUUUGAUGUCAAAAUGAAGGAUUCGUUGAUCACAUCCUUGGUGUAGGUACUCAAUUCCUUUGGCAAUGCCUAGAGCAAUAUCUUUCAACUUAUCCCAACCAAGGAAAGAAUUCUUGUUGUCUGCUGAUGAGAUGAAAUCUUGUAGUGAUCCGUUGGGUAAGAACUCAUAUACAAGAGCUCGUCUGAAUCCAUCAGCACAGAAGCCGACCAAGCGAACUACAUUGACAUGGUGGAUAUGACCCAUUGUUCCCACCUCAUUUAGGAAUUCUUCUCCGUCUCCGUAAUUAGUGUUUUUGAGGACUUUAACAGCAACAAACAAUUCAGAUGAAAGCUUCCCUUUGAAAACAGUUCCAUACGCUCCUUCCCCCAAUUUAUCCUCAAAUUGAUUCGUAAUUCUUUUGAUAUCUGCAUAGGAAUAUCUGCUUGGCUUGAGCGCUUUGUGAUCCUCUAGGAAUGUUUCAAUUUUCAAUUGAUUCUGUUUUUCCAUUUUAUCAGAGUGAUACACACCAUAGAUUACACCCACCGAAAUUAAUAGAUAGAUUGUAGUCAGAGUUGCACCUGCAUGCAAAGAAGUCCUUUAGCUUAACAUAUCCUCAAUUUCUUCAAGACAUGAGACAUAGCAAAAUACUGGUUCUAUCUUUUAACUCACCUGUAGCCACUAACUUUGUUGUUGCGCCUGUAAAUGAUAAUUAACAACAUAUCAGACCUCCAUGUUGAAAGAUAAACAUAUCAAGCAGAUAACAACAGUUGAAAUUUGAGUAGCAAAUAUAUGUGACAUAAAAUUCAAGUUAUUAUUACUUACUUGGUUUACUAAAAUCAACACAUUCAAUUUCACUUUCGAUGCCGUUGAACUUCAAAUGACACUUCUUACCCAUCUGUUGACAUUCUGUACAAUUUGGUGUAGACCACCAAAAAUAGGCAUCCAUAGACAGAGGAUACAGAAGUUCAUAUGGAACUGGUAAAUCAUACAUCUUUGUACAGUACUGUGGAGGUUGGUAAUUGCUUGGAAUGGCAUAUAUAUAUUUAUAGCCCAGGCGACUGAGGCAGGGGACUUGUAGUCGUGGUGAAUCAGUAGCUGUGUUUGGGGCGGGACAGUCAAAUAAGCUGACAAAAUUAUCCAUACUAGAUUCUGAGAAGAUGAAAGGAGAGAUAAUUGGUUUCAUGUUUGGGGUUGCUAAUUGCUUCAGGAGAAAGCAACCAUCAUCCGUUAUGUGUACUUGAAUUUUCUGGCGCUUAUAAUCAAUGUGUUUCACAAAGAAUUUUACCACCAUCUGCUGCUGCUGGACAGUAGUUUUGUUGCUCUGCUGACUACAUCCAAGCUCAAAUCCACGACAACGAGGAAGGCGAUUGAACAGGACAUGGAUAGCAAGUCGACGAUCAUCAUGGUCACCACACUCUGAUUCUGUGCAUGCAUUAUGGCACCCUUUGAAGAAAGCUAUUGGCAUCAAUAUGCAGUAGGCUGAGAUGAGGAUUAGUCGCUGCAUUUCCUCCCAAAAUAAGAUGAAUUUUUCAGCAACUAGCCUUCUUACUUUGCAUUGAAUUUUAAAGGAAAUGUUUUAUACCAAAUGAUAUACUAAAAGAAUCAAUGGCAAACAUGAUAAUAAUUUGUUAUUGACCAUGUUCCAGAAGAUGACAAACCUAACCGAAAUAAAAAUAAAUAAAUCAAACAAGGAUGGGAAGGACGAUAUUUCCACAAACAAUAAUCAAAACCAAGUCCAAGUCUACCAUGGCCUUCCUAUAUUGACUAACAGACUGACUGAGAUAUGGCUUAUCUUUGCACAAGAUCACUUAAAAUUGUAUGUAUGCUAAUCUCUCCCUUCUUCCAUGAGAUGAUGGGUAGUCGCUGCAUUUUCUUUCCAAAUAAGAUGAAAUUUUCAGCAGCUAAGCUUGGUACUUUCCACUAAACUCUAAAUUUGCUGUUUUGUACAUCAGAUGCAGAAUCAAUGGCAACCAUAACAGUUUUUUUUUUUUGGUUAAACAUGUUCCAGAAGAAAAGGAAAGGACAAGGAAAGACGAUCAUACAAAUCCUGCACAAAGAAAAAUCCAAAUGAACAACCAAGUCCAAGUACUCGAUCCCACCCAAAUAAGCUGAAACAGUAUUCUUAAUUGCCUGGCCAUCCAGUACUGACUUACCGACGGUUUGGGACGCGUUGCUUACUUAUGCACAUGAUCGAUCAAUCAUAUGUAGAUACCUGGCUAUCUCACUGCAGACUUAAACUUCCGCCCAAACAGAAACAAUCUCUCUGUCUCUCUAGUCUCUAGCUCCCUCCCUCUUUCCUUCUAUGGGGAUAAGUGGAAGGUCAUUCGCUCAAUCUGCGUGGGUUUUAAUGGUAGCCUUUCUUGCUUGUAGCUCUAAGACAUGUAGUCUUAAGUAUUGUACCCCAUCUUCCUGCGGUAAUAUCCCCAAUAUAAGCUACCCUUUUCGACUGAAACAUGACCCAGAGACCUGCGGAAAGGCCGGGUUCACUCUUCUAUGUGAGAACAACAUUACAGUACUAGACUUACCUUCUCUAAAAUACCAUGUACAGGCAAUCAACUACAGUAGCCAAACAAUCCGAGUGGUGGAUCCUGGCUUUCAGGAAAACAAUUGUUCCUCCGUUCCUGUUAAUCCUCCAACAAAAUAUGAUCCUUUUCUUGGUUCAUCACUUUACAAUGUCUAUUAUAGCAGUAUGAAUACUGUCACAGAGCGUAUAUACUUCCUCAAGUGUUCAGAGCGGGUGAAUAUGUAUACUUAUGUAGACACUGCUGCAUGCACUGAUGAUACUGGUACUAGCAGUACUGGUUCUUCUUCUUCUUCUAUGUCCCAACCCAGAACGUUUGGUUAUCUCCUGGUUGAUGACAUAACGUCAGGAGACGUGGUGGAGGGUUGCAGCUUAGAGUGGCAGACAUUCAUAACUAUCGAUGUGAACGACUACAACCACACAGACAUAAAAAGAACGAUGAAUUCAUUGGCGUAUGGCUUUGAGGUUCUAUAUUUGCUUGAAAUGCCUUUUACAUGCGGAGGCCCGUGGAGUAUCAACUACAAAUGUUUUCCGCACACAGUCGCAGGUUCGUUCCAUCGAAAUUAUACCGAUAAAUUCCUUUCUGCAGCUCUAUAUAUAUUACUUACUAUAUAGAGAAUGGUCAGUGAGUUAUGGUCAUGGUCUGAUUGGUUAAAUAUUUUUUUCUCUAAAAGAACAACACAACCCUUUUAGCAAAUCCAUACAGGGGAUCAAAAUAAAAAGAGAAAAUGCCCAUUUAGUACUAAUUUAAACCUUACAUUUCUCAUUCCAAUGAUAAUAUUUUUCAUGAGCUCAUUUCAAUAUAAAGUAAUAUUUUUUAUGCCCAAAUGCACAAAUCUUUACUAAAGUCUUAACAAAUGAUAUUAUUUUAAGACUAUUUUACCCUCAUCCUUUAAACAUGCAUAGAGAGAGAAAAUAGAAGAGAGAGAAUACUUGGUCGGAAUCUCACCAGACUCCGGUCACGGUCGUCGGACUCUGGUCAUUGUCGUCGGACUCCCGUCACCGGCCGCCGGAUUUCCUUAUCGCCGGACUCCGGUCACCGGUGACUUGGUUACUGACCCUCAAUAAUCAGUUAUUGCCCCCCAAUAAUUGGGUUAUUACUCUCAAUAACUUGGUUACUGACCCCCAAUAAUCAGUUACUGACCCCCAAUAAUCGAGUUACUGACCCUAAUAACUUGAUUACUGACCCCCAAUAAUGAGUUAUUGACCCCUAAUAAUGGGGUUACUACCUUCAAUAACUUGGUUACUGACCCACAGUAAUCAGUUACUAGCCCCCAAUAAUCGGGUUACUAACCCCAAUAGCUUGGUAAUCAAUUACUGACCCACAGUAAUCAGUUACUGACCCCUAAUAACUCAACAAUUCACACCAAAACUCAACAUUAAUCAAUUGCAAAACUUCAGGCCAAGCAAUUUACACCAAAACUCAACAAAACUCAGCGUAUGACACAAAGCACAGUACACAAGCAGAGUACACCAUUGAAAUUGUCAAGGUUCUUGAUAUGAGAGAGUGCAGACGUCAGUGGAUGAUGAGUAUACGUGUAUACAUACAUGAAUCUGAUUGCACCUAAAAUAGCCACGUAGUUAACAACAUGCAUAUCAUUGAACUUCGAACUACCUUAGGUACUUCUGCAAUCAACUAACUUCGUUUCUCGAGAACUACCUUGAGAUUCUGACAGAAAAUUCAGAUUAUUCCCUUCGAUUCCCUCCUUUGUAAUCCUUCCUCAUCCUCGAUCUGAUGCUCUGCCCAUUCUUCUUGCAUCAAUUGUUUAAGACUACUAUACUGUAUUUCCCCCUCCGAUUUCACCUGCACCGAAACCAACGAGCCAUCCACUUGGAUUUGAAGACCAAGGAGACCUCUACAACCCAGUCUUUCUCGGACCUUCAACCAUGCAGACGAAGUCGGAGCCAGCGAAGUUGAUGAAGCCUGAGCCGACGAAGUUGAUGAAGCCGGAUCCGAAGAGCAGAGCCUAGUCGUCGGUGGACCAGAUCCAGUGGGAUGGUCGGAUUUGAUCGUUGUGACAAGAACGGAAGGUGAUGGUGGCCAGAUCGGGCGGUGACAAACCGACAUAAGAGAUCUAGCCUCGUCGGCGUCGAGGCCUUGUCAGUCGUCAUUAGUGCUUCUCGUCGCCGGUGCUUCAAAUCGUAAGUGCUUCGCCGGCGAGGGGAUUCGCGGCUGAGAGAGAGAUAGAGAGAGAGAGGAGGGUAGAUUAAAAGAGUGUGGGUAAUAUUGUCUUUUUUGAUCAAAAUAAUUGAAAUGGGCUGUUCAAAUCUGUUUUCAUUGGAAUGGGUUUUAAAAACCUUGUUUUUGUGCAAAUGAGCAUUGUCUCAAAUAAAAAUACUACCAAAAUAGUUCAACCUUUCUCACCCAUGAAAUACUUCUAACGUAGUUUAAUUUACAUCCGUGAGUAUUUAAUGUACAUGAAUCAAACCCCAAUUGGUGUCAUAAUUUCUCAGCAGCAAGGAAAAUUCUAGUAUACCAUAUGGUAUAAUACAUAAUGUGUGGUUAUCAUUGAUUGAAUAAGCAACUAAAUGACCAUUUACCCCUUCAAAAGCUCACAUGUGUCAUACUAUUAGACAUAUUUGUAAUAGGUAUAUCAUACCAUAUGGUAUGGGAGACAAACCACAACAGCAGAAGCAAGAGCAUUUCCAAACAUCAAAGCAAUAUAAAAGCUCAAAUAAAAAUAACAGAAAUAAAAAGCCCAAAUAAGAGAGGUACGGUCCAGAUCCUAGCCCAACAAGAGAGCCCCAACGACCCAAGGCCCGAAUCCAAAAACCGAGCCCAACCUGAGAUUAAGGCCCACACCCAAUCACUGAGGACACCCAGAGAAUUAGGUCUCCCCACCUCCAAUUUACCCAAAGAAUUAUUUCCAACUUUCGAUCCCUUUAGUUCUAAAUCCUUAUGCACACGCACGAGUCCUGAAUCCCGAUACAAAACGCGUUAACAACCUUUAUGAAACGACAUCUAGACCCUGACGAUUAUUGAACGGUCUUACUAACCUUCUGCUAGUUUGACCAAGAAUUGACCAUGUUGACCGAGUUAAUUAAGUUGACUAGCCAUUGUAAAACUCAAUUCUCGUCCACUUAUGACCACUUAAUGUUUGAUCACAAAUAGGUCGAACAGAUUUAUAACAUCGACUCUUAACUCUUAUUCGGCGUACCUUAAUUUACUAAGGACACCCAAGAUUAUAACGAUACACACUUUAACAACUUGCGACAAAUCGACUAUUUAGUUUGUAACUCUCAAUCCGGGUGUGGAAUUGGAUUACAAAAUUCUAUUAGGUUCUAUACUUCUUUCAAAAAUAGUUUAGUCGAAUCUCUAGACUAAACCAAAACCCGACUUAGUCUUUAAAUUAAAAACUUGAUAAGAUUCAAAAUAAAGAUUUUGAGUUCUAGACAUCUUAAACAAGAUCGGCCAAGCCUUCCAUCAUUUCUAUGCAGGCCCGAACCUGAGUGUACGUAGUCUGAGGAGCCCAUCAACUCAGGGCCCAGAAAAUAAAAGGGCCCAGUUUUGUUUUUUAUAGCUUUUUAUUGGGUGUAAUUGUUGGUGACAUAUUAAUUAAGGUUUCUUAAUUGAUAAAUUAGAGGUGAUUAAAGAUAAUUAAAUGUUAUUCGUUUUUAGAUUUUGAGUUGAUAGCGUUACUUCAUUGUAAAUUUCAUACAAAAAGAAGAAAAAAAAUAAAUUUAUACAACAUUUAAAGGGCCCAACUUUAAGAGUUCAACUCUGGUCUGAAAAUCUCAGGUCCGAGCUUGUUUCUAUGGCCUCAAACUCAGCCUCCCUAAACCGUAUCUCCCUCUCGCGUGUUUGGGCCAAAAGGCCUAAACCCUCUUACUUCUAUUCUACGGACCAAAAGUCUAGAUCAAAAGGGGAAGGAACAUAUUAUUUUUGGAAAACUAAUUUCUAAUAUCUCGAAACGAAAAUCAUAAAAACUCAACCGUGUGUUCGAAAAAUAAUCAAAUUGCAUCUCCAAACUCGUAGCGACGUACACUUUAAUUUUGGUACUUGGAUCUAAUUUGGGACCUUGGAUCAUGGACUUGACCCAUUUUUUUUAAAAGAAUUUCGAGUAACUUCUAGUGUGACGUUUACUUUUCGACAAAAACAGGAAAAUAAAUUAUGUGACACACUACUCUUCUAGAGUGUAGGUAAAUGUAGUCAAUGACUAAGUAAAGUAGAAUGAGGUUUCACAACAUCAACCCCGUGGUCUCCACCAAGCCCUUGUCGCAGUCGCAGCCACCAUGAUUGAAAAUGCCAAAAUCCCUACAAAUUUUAUGGCACUUCAUAUCGGAUGUCCAACUCUACAGUUACCUCUAGCGAAAAUGAGAAAUACAGGAUCCAUUUUCCGACAUUGUGGCGAACUCAGAUCCUUUGCACAAUCUCUUUCUUCUCUCUAUCGCACCUUAGCGCAUACCCAUCAAAACUGCUACUUUUUUUGGCUCUUCAAGCCUUGGACGCUUUGAGGCACGCGUCACACUGCUAUUGGUUGAUCACCUACUCUUUUUGUACCUUAUUUUGAUAUGUUGUGGUUGUAAUAAUAAUAAUAAUAAUAAUAAUAAUAAUAAUAAUAAUAAUAAUAAUAAUAAUAAUAAUAAUAAUAAUAAUAAUAAUAAUAAUAAUAAUAAUAAUAAUAAUAUGUUUUGUUAGUUUGCCAAAAAGACAAAACAAAACAGGGAGUUGAUACGUAUUCUAACGAAUAGAUCACACUUAAUUCAGCAAUUUGUACUUUAGCAUUUUGUGAUUAAUCUGACUUUUCUAAUUUCCUUGUUUACCAUAUUGUAGGUGCCUUUCGACUACUAUGGGAAGCUUUUCUCAGUAAGAGUCUCUUUCAAAUCCCUAUUCUUUUAGUUAGAAUUUUGUUACCACUAAAACCCUCAUAUCUCUAAUAAAAAUCAACUACGAUAAAGCCUUUAAAAGGUGCACCAAAAUGUGUAUCACACACAAUCCCCUUCAUAAUUAAAGUAAUUACUUUUUUUUUUGUAAAUGUCAACUGCGACUUGUAUAUAUUGAUUUUUCGCAAAACGAAGAAACAACUAUUACAUACUCUAUAACCACCAUCUACUGAUAGACAAGUAGUUGUGAACCGAGACUCACACUAGUACAUAUAAUACACUACUCAUUAAUCGUUUUCACGCAUAGAGUCCAUAGUGUCCCAAACACGUGCGAUAGUGUCCUAAAGGAACAAACAGGAAAUCGAAAUCUAAUCUAAAAAUUCCUAUAACAUAGAGAAAUAGCUAAAAGAAAAUAAAUUAAACUAAAUUGGGCUAGAGCCCACAAGCCAACCCAACAAAACAGGCCAAUUCAACCCCACCAUUGCGUGAAGAAGAAAGGCCGGAGUCCCGAUCUGUCCACAGCGAUGCCGACAUGAACGAGAAGCACCACCUGAUCUAAAGCUGCACCUUACCUCUUUGCCUCCAUUGAGCUACGCCUCACCUCUUUGCCUCAAUUGCCAAGAUAGAAUCAAAGCACCACCGUCACCCAGCACAGAGCAGCGAAACAAGGAAAGAUGAAACCAUUGUUGCCGUCAGCCUUCCAGCAGCGUCAACUCGAGAGCCCAGCCAUAGAAACCAAUCUCCCGUCCGGCAACGAUCGCAAGACAGCAAGGCGAUUAAAAUCAACCUUGUUGCCGACCAGUACGCCGCCGAAUGAGCACAAGGAAUGGAAGUGCCACAGCUGGAGAGAGAGAGAGAGAGAGAGAGAGAGAGAGAGAGAGAGAGAGUAGUAGUAGUAGAGAGAGAGAGAGUGAGUUAGGGUUAUAUAAUAAAAUUAAUUACUUCAAACACAUGAAAUGAUGUAAAAAGUCACUUCAAAUAGUUAUAUAUAUCAAAACUAAUAAAAUGUGGUUGGUGAUGAAGAAACUUUCACGUGCCGAUCAACGAGGGAAUGAGAAAUUUUUAAUUUUCGUCUACAUGAGUUAAGCUUUGCACCCCGAGUGGAUUACAAAAUAAGGAGGUUUUUCUAUUGAGGACUAGUUAAUGAUUUUUCGGUUUAUGAUUUGAAAGAUUUAUUUUUUUAUCACAUUUUGACAUCUCAUCAGUUCAAUUUUUUUGUCUAUAUGAGUAGAUCAUUUCUACAAAUUUUCAACCAAAUUGGUGAUCAUUAAAAUAACAAACUAAAUCAAAUUAAUGGACAAACCAAAUCUGUCAAACAUGAACCGUUCAAGUUCAUAUAUUGGUAAAUCAUACUUAUAAAUGUCUUAACGAUUUUUAGUGUGGCUGAAAAUUUACAUAAAUGAUCUACUCAUAAAUAUCUAUAAACUGAACGGUCAAGAUGUGGAUAUAAGAUUGAAAAGUGAGAUAAGCUGAAAAGUCCUCAACUAGUCAUUAACUUAAGGGCUCCCUUACAAAAUAUACAAAUAGAUUCUUAAUUAUCUUUGUGUGAUAUAGUCUUUUAAUAUUUCAAAUGUUU